GACGAACGCUGGCGGGAUGCCUUACACAUGCAAGUCGAACGGAGUGGCGAACGGGUGAGUAAUGUAUCGGAACGUGCCCAGUAGCGGGGGAUAACUACGCGAAAGCGUAGCUAAUACCGCAUACUAUGGGAGCGGCCGAUAUCGGAUUAUCUAGUUGGUGGGGUAACGGCUCACCAAGGCGACGGUCCGUAGCUGGUUUGAGAGGACGACCAGCCACACUGGGACUGAGACACGGCCCAGACUCCUACGUGAGGCAGCAGUGGGGAAUUUUUGACAAUGGGGGGAACCCUGAUCCAGCCAUCCCGCGUGUGCGAUGAAGGCCUGCGGGUUGUAAAGCACUUUUGGCAGGAAAGCGGUACCUGCAGAAUAAGCACCGGCUAACUACGUGCCAGCAGCCGCGGUAAUUC
rnacentral:rRNA from 1 species